rnacentral:rRNA from 1 species
UCCGGAGGGCGCGAGCGUUGUUCGGAAUCACUGGGCGUAAAGCGCGUGUAGGCGGCCGAGCAAGUCGGAUGUGAAAUCCCGAGGCUCAACCUCGGAACUGCAUUCGAAACUGCUCGGCUCGAGUCCCGGAGAGGAUGGCGGAAUUCCCGGUGUAGGGGUGAAAUCCGUAGAUAUCGGGAGGAACACCAGUGGCGAAGGCGGCCAUCUGGACGGUGACUGACGCUGAGACGCGAAAGCGUGGGGAGAAAACAGG